UACGUAGGUGGCAAGCGUUGUCCGGAAUUAUUGGGCGUAAAGCGCGCGCAGGCGGCUUCUUAAGUCUGAUGUGAAAUCUCGGGGCUCAACCCCGAGCGGCCAUUGGAAACUGGGAAGCUUGAGUACAGAAGAGGAGAGUGGAAUUCCACGUGUAGCGGUGAAAUGCGUAGAUAUGUGGAGGAACACCAGUGGCGAAGGCGACUCUCUGGUCUGUAACUGACGCUGAGGCGCGAAAGCGUGGGGAGCGAACCGG
rnacentral:rRNA from 1 species